rnacentral:rRNA from 1 species
AGCAUGUGGUUUAAUCGAAGCAACCGCGAAGAACCUUACCAGGUCUUGACAUCCCGAUGCUAUUUCUAGAGAUAGAAAGUUACUUCGGUACAUCGGUGACAGGUGGUGCAUGGUUGUCGUCAGCUCGUGUCGUGAGAUGUUGGGUUAAGUCCCGCAACGAGCGCAACCCCUAUUGUUAGUUGCCAUCAUUUAGUUGGGCACUCUAGCGAGACUGCCGGUAAUAAACUGGAGGAAGGUGGGGAUGACGUCAAAUCAUCAUGCCCCUUAUGACCUGGGCUACACACGUGCUACAAUGGCCGGUACAAAGAGUUGCGAAACUGUGAAGUUAAGCUAAUCUCAUAAAGCCGGUCUCAGUUCGGAUUGUAGUCUGCAACUCGACUACAUGAAGUCGGAAUCGCUAGUAAUCGCGAAUCAGAAUGUCGCGGUGAAUACGUUCUCGAGUCUU